rnacentral:tRNA from 1 species
UCCCUGGUGGCUUAGAGGUUAAAGCGUCUGCCUGAAAUGCAGGAGACCCAGGUUCGAUCCCUGUGUCAGGAAG